GUCCCUUUAAGGAAGAAAGGAAGUUACUUGGUGUCUUCAGCUCAAAUAAAUGACACAAAUGUAGAGCUGUUCCAUGUCCUUUGCAAAUGGACCACAGUGGUUUGGGGCAGCGCCCCCACAAAUGUGCACGCUAGAAUGUGCAUUACUGAGCAACAGAACGGCGAUGAAAAUAAUGUGGACAAACGCUGCCUCUCGUUGGGGUUUAGGGAAUUAUUCAGAGGUGCCAAGGCAAAUACUAGAGGAAAGAAUCAGCUAAAAGAUGAAGAUCCCGGGCCGUUGUGGAGUAGGGGCGCUCCCCAAAGGCUGUACUGCCCCGUGGGGAUAGGCUUCCACCUGCAGAUCCCGUCCGGAGGAGGGGUCCAGGGCGUGCACAUCCCAGACGAGUCCUGUGAGUCCCUCCACAUGUUCUCCACUGCAGCUCUGCGAAGGAGAUAA
rnacentral:lncRNA from 1 species